CCUACGGGAGGCAGCAGUGGGGAAUAUUGGACAAUGGGGGGAACCCUGAUCCAGCGACGCCGCGUGAGUGAAGAAGUAUUUCGGUAUGUAAAGCUCUAUCAGCAGGGAAGAAAGAAAUGACGGUACCUGAUUAAGAAGCCCCGGCUAACUACGUGCCAGCAGCCGCGGUAAUACGUAGGGGGCAAGCGUUAUCCGGAUUUACUGGGUGUAAAGGGAGCGUAGACGGCGAUGCAAGUCUGAAGUUAAAGGCGGGGGCCCAACCCCCGGACUGCUUUGGAAACUGUUUGCCUUGAGUGUCGGAGAGGUAGUCGGAAUUCCUUGUGUAGCGGGGAAAUGCGUAGAUAUAAGGAAGAACACCAGUGGCGAAGGCGGAUUACUGGACGAUAACUGACGGUGAGGCGCGAAAGCGUGGGGAGCAAACAGGAUUAGAUACCCCUGUAGUC
rnacentral:rRNA from 1 species